CGGGUGGGUGGUUUUCAAAGGGAGUCGCCCCUGGUCCUUUUGCUACUUAGCUGCAUGGUAUUCCGUUACGUGGCUGUCCCAUCGUUUUUUAACCAAUCUCUUAAUGAUGGACAAUUGAGUGGUUUCUGCUCUUUUUGUUAUCAACAAUGUUGCAGUAAAUAACUGUGGAUUUGUUAUUCCACACUAAAUCUUGUUGCUGCUCAGUCAUUGGGUCUGCACUGCCUUUAUGAGCUGUAACACUCACUGUGAGAGUCUGUAGUUUCACUCCCGAGGCCAGUGAGACCCUGAACCCACCAGAAGGAAGAAACUCCAAACACGUCCGAACAUCAGAAGGAAGGAACAAACUCCGGACAUGCCUCACUGCAAGGGUCACCGGCUUCAUUCUUGAAGUCAGUGAGACCAAGAACCCACCAAUUCUGGACACAAUAUAAUCCUCAUUCUUCCUCCUUGAAUAUGCAGUUUACUGUGGCACACACAUUCCCACUGCAAUGCUCUAUUCCUGAAUAAAUAUCUUUUUCUUUUAGAGAGCCUUUCUCUGUUAUUUAGGUUGACAGUUUUUAACUGUCUUUUAGUAUAUCUUUGAAAUUUUGGUUGAAAGCUGGACAUGAUGUAUAUGAUAGUAGGACCUGAAGUAAAUCGGCCUUAUUGUGUGAGGUUUUAUGUUAAUCUGACUAGUAGCUGGGCCGUGUUUAAUGUUUCCUAUAGCUGUAGGUGCCAGAAACUUUAGUUUCCUCUAGUUUCAGGUAUUUUUUUUUCUCUUCUGUUUUGACUUUCCCUGAGAACUCUUAUUAUUUUUUUUGAGAUGGAGUUUUGCUCUUGUUGCGCAGGCUGGAGGGCAGUGGCGCCAUCUUGGCUCACUGCAACUUCUGCCUCCCAGGGUCAAGCAGUUCUCCUGCUUUUCCUGAGUAGCUGGGAUUACAGGUCCC
rnacentral:lncRNA from 1 species